rnacentral:rRNA from 1 species
CAGUAGCCGCGGUAAUACGAAGGGUGCAAGCGUUAAUCGGAAUUACUGGGCGUAAAGCGUGCGUAGGCGGUGAGUUAAGUCUGCUGUGAAAUCCCCGGGCUCAACCUGGGAAUGGCAGUGGAUACUGGCUCGCUAGAGUGUGUCAGAGGAUGGUGGAAUUCCCGGUGUAGCGGUGAAAUGCGUAGAGAUCGGGAGGAACAUCAGUGGCGAAGGCGACUCUCUGGGCUGUAACUGACGCUGAGGCGCGAAAGCGUGGGGAGCAAACAGGAUUAGAUACCCCGGUAGUCCCUGUCUCUUAUAA